rnacentral:rRNA from 1 species
AGUUUGAUCAUGGCUCAGGAUGAACGCUGGCGGCGUGCCUAACACAUGCAAGUCGAGCGAGAAGCUCAUGACGGACGCUUCGGUUGAAGUCACGAGUGGAAAGCGGCGGACGGGUGAGUAACGCGUAGGCAACCUGCCCUUUGCAGAGGGAUAGCCUCGGGAAACCGGGAUUAAAACCUCAUAAUACCGCAGUGAGACAUCUCACGGUGGUCAAAGAUUUAUCGGCAAAGGAUGGGCCUGCGUCUGAUUAGUUAGUUGGUGGGGUAACGGCCUACCAAGGCGACGAUCAGUAGCCGACCUGAGAGGGUGAUCGGCCACAUUGGAACUGAGACACGGUCCAAACUCCUACGGGAGGCAGCAGUGGGGAAUAUUGCACAAUGGGGGAAACCCUGAUGCAGCAACGCCGCGUGAAGGAUGAAGGCCUUUGGGUCGUAAACUUCUGUUCUAAGGGAAGAUAGUGACGGUACCUUAGGAGCAAGUCCCGGCUAACUACGUG